rnacentral:rRNA from 2 species
UGAGGAAUAUUGGGCAAUGGGCGCAAGCCUGACCCAGCAAUGCCGCGUGAAGGAAGACGGUUUUCGGAUUGUAAACUUCUUUUAAGAGGGACGAUAAUGACGGUACCUCUUGAAUAAGCCACGGCUAACUACGUGCCAGCAGCCGCGGUAAUACGUAGGUGGCAAGCGUUGUCCGGAUUUACUGGGUGUAAAGGGCGAGUAGGCGGAUCUGCAAGUCAGAUGUGAAAUCCCGGAGCUCAACUCCGGAACUGCAUUUGAAACUGUAGACCUUGAGUGAUGGAGAGGCAGGCGGAAUUCCCGGUGUAGCGGUGGAAUGCGUAGAUAUCGGGAGGAACACCAGUGGCGAAGGCGGCCUGCUGGACAUUAACUGACGCUGAGGAGCGAAAGCGUGGGGAGCAAACAGG